GAAAUAUGAUAAUCAAAGCUAAGCUUCUAACUUAAACUUUAAGCAGUGUAAAUCUGUUUAUAUUUCU
rnacentral:tRNA from 1 species